rnacentral:lncRNA from 1 species
GGAAACAGCAAUUGCCCGCAGCUGUUACUCUGUUUAUGUGCAGAGGAACAAUCACCUGUUGCAAAGGCAGCAAUAAUCCAGCCUGUUCUGUGGACACAUUUGACUAAUUUUGACUGUUUUGAACUGCGAUGCCUUGCUCUCCUUGAACUUGCUGCAAAAGGCAGCUCUUCCAGCAAGUGGAAGCAGCUGAGCCUCAUUUGGUCCCAAAAGGCUGUUUUCCAAAAACAUGGGAGACUGAGAUGGAUCUCGAUGUCCUUGGGAAGACAGCAGAGGCUGACGUCCUCCCCACCACACCGGGUUGAAGUGCAGUCCCCAUCACAUGCUGAGGGCAGAGCAGUGCUCAGAGGUGCCCCUUGGGUUUAGGACAAUUUCCUGAAGAUGCUCAGGCUGGCUUGGCCCAUGGAACUGACAAAUCCCAGGCCAGCUGAGGUACUCUGAGCAGCUCUGUCUGUACUUUUCCAUUGAUCCUUUGCCUAGAUAUAUAGUUCUGAUUUUGUCUGUGUCAUGGGAAGAUGUCAUCUUGAUCCCUCUACAAGGCUUUCAAAUAGUAACAUUUUGUUUGAAGGGAAAAGGAAAGAAAAAAGCAAGUGACAAAGAGCACUUAAUCAGUAUUACUCAGUAUGUUUACAUUUAUGCUUGAAGAUGAGCAACAUGAUGUAUUUCUGUUCGUGUUCAUGUGGAUAAAAACCUUCUAUGCAAUUGCUAUGACCUACCAUUUAAAAAUAAAUAAUAACACACUAAGGCUUCUUAAUGGUUC